CUGAGUGCAUGAUGAUGUAAAGUUAUCCCUGUCUGAAGGUCAAGGGGCCUCUCUGUGGAACAUGGAUAUCUGAAACUCAG